rnacentral:rRNA from 1 species
UGGGGAAUAUUGGACAAUGGGCGCAAGCCUGAUCCAGCAAUGCCGCGUGAGUGAUGAAGGCCUUAGGGUUGUAAAGCUCUUUCGCACGCGACGAUGAUGACGGUAGCGUGAGAAGAAGCCCCGGCUAACUUCGUGCCAGCAGCCGCGGUAAUACGAAGGGGGCUAGCGUUGUUCGGAAUUACUGGGCGUAAAGGGCGCGUAGGCGGCCUGUUUAGUCAGAAGUGAAAGCCCCGGGCUCAACCUGGGAAUAGCUUUUGAUACUGGCAGGCUUGAGUUCCGGAGAGGAUGGUGGAAUUCCCAGUGUAGAGGUGAAAUUCGUAGAUAUUGGGAAGAACACCGGUGGCGAAGGCGGCCAUCUGGACGGACACUGACGCUGAGGCGCGAAAGCGUGGGGAGCAAACGGAUUAGAUACCCUGGUAGUCCACGCCGUAAACGAUGAAUGCUAGACGUCGGGGUGCAUGCACUUCGGUGUCGCCGCUAACGCAUUAAGCAUUCCGCCUGGGGAGUACGGCCGCAAGGUUAAAACUUAAAGGAAUUGACGGGGUCAUAGCUGUUUCCU